AGCAGCCGCGGUAAUUCCAGCUCCAAUAGCGUAUAUUAAAGUUGUUGCAGUUAAAAAGCUCGUAGUUGAAUUUCGGGAUCAAUAUGUCGGUCGUGCCUUCGGUACGCACUGGUAUCAUUGGUCUCUCCUUUCUGACGAACCAUGAUGUCAUUAAUUUGGUGUUAUGGGGAGUUAGGACUGUUACUUUGAAAAAAUUAGAGUGUUUAAAGCAGGCUUUAGCUUGAAUACAUUAGCAUGGAAUAAUGAAAUAGGACGUUCGAACCUAUUUUGUUGGUUUCUAGGAUCAACGUAAUGAUUAAUAGGGAUAGUUGGGGGCAUUAGUAUUCAAUUGUCAGAGGUGAAAUUCUUGGAUUUAUUGAAGACUAACUACUGCGAAAGCAUUUGCCAAGGAUGUUUUCAUUAAUCGAGAACGAAAGUUAGGGGAUCGAAGACGAUCAGAUACCGUCGUAGUCUUAACCAUAAACUAUGCCGACUAGGGAUCGGAUGAUGUUAAUUUUUUAAUGACUCA
rnacentral:rRNA from 1 species